CCUACGGGUGGCAGCAGUGAGGAAUAUUGGGCAAUGGGCGAGAGCCUGAACGAGCAAAGUCGCGUGAAGGAUGACGGCCCUACGGGUGGUAAACUUCUUUUGUCAGGGAGCAAUUGAGUCCACGUGUGGGCUUAGCGAGAGUACCUGAAGAAAAAGCAUCUGAUAACUCCGUGCCAGCAGCCGCGGUAAUAAGGAGGAUGCGAGCGUUAUCCGGAUUGAUUGGGUUUAAAGGGUGCGUAGGCGGAAUAUCAAGUCAGCGGGAAAAAUUCGGGGCUCAACCCCGUCGUGCCGUUGAAACUGGUGUUCUUGAGUGGGCGAGAAGUAUGCGGAAUGCGGUGUGUAGCGGUGAAAUGCAUAGAUAUAACGCAGAACUCCGAUUGCGAAGGCAGCAUACCGGCGCCCAACUGACGCUGAAGCACGAAAGCGUGGGUAUCGAACAGGAUUAGAUACCCCAGUAGUC
rnacentral:rRNA from 1 species